AACGAACGCUGGCGGCGUGCCUAACACAUGCAAGUCGAGGGGCAGCAUAGAAGUAGCAAUACUUUGGUGGCGACCGGCGCACGGGUGAGUAACGCGUAUGCAACCUACCUAUCAGAGGGGGAUAACCCGGCGAAAGUCGGACUAAUACCGCAUAAAACAGGGGCACCGCAUGGUGAUAUUUGUUAAAGAUUAAUUGCUGAUAGAUGGGCAUGCGUUCCAUUAGGUAGUUGGUGAGGUAAUGGCUCACCAAGCCGACGAUGGAUAGGGGAACUGAGAGGUUGGUCCCCCACACUGGUACUGAGACACGGACCAGACUCCUACGGGAGGCAGCAGUGAGGAAUAUUGGUCAAUGGGCGAGAGCCUGAACCAGCCAAGUCGCGUGAAGGAAGAAGGAUCUAUGGUUCGUAAACUUCUUUUGCAGGGGAAUAAAGUGGAGCACGUGUCCUCUUUUGUAUGUGCCCUGAGAAUAAGGAUCGGCUAACUCCGUGCCAGCAGCCGCAGUAACAC
rnacentral:rRNA from 1 species